GAGCCCCCAGGACACCUCAGCAGGCAGUCGGGAGUCCCUGCUCCGUUUUGCAGUUGGAGAAACCGAGGUCCACUUGGUGCCUCCGUUUCCCCCCCACCUUUCACUAUAAAGGUGAGACCCCCUCCAUGUACCCAGAUGAGGCAGAGCAGCCGCACAGGGCUGUCUCCGGAGAGAGGCUCAGCCUGAGGGCCCUGCUUCUCAGCCCGCUCUGGGCCUCGCAGAGCUUGGCACUUCUCUUGAUCCUUUCCCGGAAUCUGCCAAAUCCCCCUUCCUCCCUCCCUCCCUCCUUCCCAGCCCCUCCUCCCCGGCAGCCCUCUGCCUCCCGUGACUCCCACUGGCUGCAUAUCCAGCUGAUCCAUGGCCAAGAUAAUCAGAUUAUCGUGGUUCCAGAAUAAUCUAUUCCAUAUGGCUUGCCAAACCAGUGGCUCCGGGAGCCAGAGGUGUGAGGAGAGGGGCUGACCCCCACGGGCGGGGGCUCCCUGGGAGCCUUGGGCUGUAGCUGGGAGGCUGCAGGGGAGGGGGCAGGUGCAGGAAGUGGUGGGGUCCUCAGUGCUGGGCGCUCCGACCACUCUGGGCUCCGGAUGGCUGCAGCCCCCUCUCCAGCCCAAGCUCCUCCUCCUCUAUCUGCGACCCAGUGGGGGUGUUUGGGAUCUGGGGGGGGCGGGCACUGCCGGGGCCUCUUCCGCUCUUGGCACCGGGGGUGUUCGCAGUAGCCACUGUUUCCCAAAGGGGGCCAGGUCUCCCCGAUUCCGGGACACUGUCCUUUUCAGACCCAGACUCUGCAGCUGCGUCCUCGGGUGCAGGGUGGGCCUGGAAACCUUUCUCUUUUUUCAUCUCCGCAGGUCCCUUUGACACGGAGCAAGGUUCCUCGGGGGGGGCUUGCGGACCCCCAGCCCGGCACCCUCGCUCUCGGGGCCUCCAGACUCAGAGGUGGCAGGGCGGCAACAGGCUGUGGCCCCAGACAGAGCCAGGCGGACCCAGCGCGGCCCCUUCCGCCAUGUGACGUGGGGCAGCCUCUCGCCGCUCCGUGUCCUCAGCUACCAGCUCACCCCUCAGGCUCACGGGGCUGGAAGCAUGGAGGACGCCCAUUAGACCCUGGCACUUCUGAAGACCCAAAGCCGGGCACCAGGUGCUGCAUGGUCCAGCCGGAGAGCGUCACGCGUGAAGUAGCUGCUAGGACGGGGCCCACACUCCACCGUGAGGGGCCAGGCAGGCAACAAAUUCUCUGUGGGAGUUCCUGUGUGACAGUCCUAUGGUCUGGAAAUACAGUUUUAUUUCUUCCUUUUCAA